CUCUAUGCUGAGAACUGAUAGCAAGCUGUACUUGUACAGUGAAGUGGCUGAUACCAUGCUUCCAGGAAAAGUCUCUAAGCUUCAGUUACACAGGAAUCGUACCCGAAACCGACACAGGUGGUCAGGUCGAGUAGACCAAAGCGCUUGAGAGAACUCUGCUGAAGGAACUAGGCAAAAUGGUACCGUAACUUCGGGAGAAGGUACGCUGUUGUCUGUGAUAGGACUUGCUCCUUGAGCGGGCGACAGCCUCAGAAACCAGGCCCCUGCAACUGUUUAUUAAAAACAUAGCACUCUGCAAACACGAAAGUGGACGUAUAGGGUGUGAUGCCUGCCCGGUGCUGGAAGGUUAAUUGAUGGGGUUAGCGUAAGCGAAGCUCUUGAUCGAAGCCCCAGUAAACGGCGGCCGUAACUAUAACGGUCCUAAGGUAGCGAAAUUCCUUGUCGGGUAAGUUCCGACCUGCACGAAUGGCAUAAUGAUGGGGGCGCUGUCUCCAGCAGAGACUCAGUGAAAUCGAAUUCGCCGUGAAGAUGCGGUGUACCCGCGGCUAGACGGAAAGACCCCGUGAACCUUUACUGCAGCUUGACAUUGAACUUUGAUCUUACUUGUGUAGGAUAGGUGGGAGGCUUUGAAGUCGCGACGCUAGUUGCGAUGGAGCCGUCCUUGAAAUACCACCCUGGUAAUAUUGAGGUUCUAACUCUGUCCCGUUAUCCGGGACGAGGACCAUGUCUGGUGGGUAGUUUGACUGGGGCGGUCUCCUCCUAAAGAGUAACGGAGGAGUACGAAGGUGCGCUCAGCGUGGUCGGAAAUCACGCGUAGAGUAUAAAGGCAAAAGCGCGCUUAACUGCGAGACCCACAAGUCGAGCAGGUACGAAAGUAGGUCUUAGUGAUCCGGUGGUUCUGUAUGGAAGGGCCAUCGCUCAACGGAUAAAAGGUACUCUGGGGAUAACAGGCUGAUACCGCCCAAGAGUUCAUAUCGACGGCGGUGUUUGGCACCUCGAUGUCGGCUCAUCUCAUCCUGGGGCUGAAGCAGGUCCCAAGGGUAUGGCUGUUCGCCAUUUAAAGAGGUACGCGAGCUGGGUUUAGAACGUCGUGAGACAGUUCGGUCCCUAUCUACCGUGGGCGUUGGAAAUUUGAGAGGAUCUGCUCCUAGUACGAGAGGACCAGAGUGGACGAACCUCUGGUGUACCGGUUGUCACGCCAGUGGCAUCGCCGGGUAGCUAUGUUCGGAAGGGAUAACCGCUGAAAGCAUCUAAGCGGGAAGCCUACCUCAAGAUAAGAUUUCCCCGAGACUUUAUGUCUCCUAAAGAGCCGUUGAAGACUACGACGUUGAUAGGUUGGAUGUGGAAGCAUAGUGAUAUGUGAAGCUGACCAAUACUAAUUGCUCGUGAGGCUUGACUAU
rnacentral:rRNA from 1 species